AUUGAACGCUGGCGGCAUGCUUUACACAUGCAAGUCGAACGGUAACAGGGUGCUUGCACCGCUGACGAGUGGCGAACGGGUGAGUAAUGCGUCGGAACGUGCCGAGUAGUGGGGGAUAACGCAGCGAAAGUUGUGCUAAUACCGCAUACGUACUGAGGUAGAAAGUGGGGGACCUUCGGGCCUCACGCUAUUCGAGCGGCCGACGUCUGAUUAGCUAGUAGAUGAGGGAAAGGCUCACCUAGGCGACGAUCAGUAGCGGGUCUGAGAGGAUGAUCCGCCACACUGGGACUGAGACACGGCCCAGACUCCUACGGGAGGCAGCAGUGGGGAAUUUUGGACAAUGGGCGAAAGCCUGAUCCAGCCAUGCCGCGUGUCUGAAGAAGGCCUUCGGGUUGUAAAGGACCUUUGUCGGGGAGGAAAUCCCCAGCGUUAAUACCGCUGGGGGAUGACAGUACCUGAAGAAUAAGCACCGGCUAACUACGUGCCAGCCGCCGCGGUAAGAC
rnacentral:rRNA from 1 species